GUGCGUGCAGUUCCUCUUCUACCGCGAACGCCUUCAUGGCCAUCAAUGCUCCGCGACCUACUGUCUGCUCGCCACAAAUGCUUCUGAAGUUAAACCGCCCGAUGCAGCCCACCACUCAUCAUCAUUACCCUGCAAUUACACAAAAAAACUGCUUGAAUGAACUGAGUCGUCGCUGUCGCUGCCGCCUCCAUGUUUUAAAGAGCUGUCGUGUUGCCGUCGACAAUCAGCGCCCGCCUUCUUGCGACGCCAUCUCUGGCAGCAGCAGCAUCCACUUUGGUACAUGCCCGCUGCAGAUUUUUCUUCCCCAUUUUGCGCCCCGGCUCGAAAUCUGCUGGACGUUUUGCCUCUCGAUCGACCAUUUGGUUGUAUUUUUGUUCAAUUCUACCUUCCCUUCAAGCCCAGCCGGAAUCAAUUGGAUUUCAAUGGGAUAUUGCGUACUGGUUGCUCAAGCAACGGAAGAAGCUAUUACCAUGUUUAUGGCCUACAGACGCUGGACAACACUACCUGCUUCCACAGAUGCAGUGUAAUUCUCAUCAAUGGAUGAGGUGGCAACAAAGAUCAUACCUGUGUGUAUUUCCCUUCUAAAAAAAGAUUGCCGAUGACGAUGGAUAGAUGGAUGAUCUACUGCUCUUCUGUUUAUCCACAACAUAAAUCAGAUUCAAGAACAUGUGAAGCUCUGAAUUUACUUAUUUGUCGCGUGAGAGUUAUCUUUAACCAAUAAUAUCUGCAUAGUCCAAGUGCUCAGUGUGGUUUCAGAACUGCACCUGGGAUUACAUGUUUCCAUGGUUAUGUACUUAUGUAGUCACCGAUAAAUGUCUUUUCAACAGUUUAUUGUCCAGUUCACUUUGAUUCUCC